AUUGAACGCUGGCGGCAUGCUUUACGCAUGCAAGUCGAACGGCAGCGCGGGCUUCGGCCUGGCGGCGAGUGGCGAACGGGUGAGUAACACAUCGGAACGUGCCCAGUAGUGGGGGAUAGCUCGGCGAAAGCCGGAUUAAUACCGCAUACGACCUGAGGGUGAAAGCGGGGGAUCUUCGGACCUCGCGCUAUUGGAGCGGCCGAUGGCAGAUUAGCUAGUUGGUGGGGUAAAGGCCUACCAAGGCGACGAUCUGUAGCUGGUCUGAGAGGACGACCAGCCACACUGGGACUGAGACACGGCCCAGACUCCUACGGGAGGCAGCAGUGGGGAAUCUUGGACAAUGGGCGAAAGCCUGAUCCAGCAAUGCCGCGUGUGUGAUGAAGGCCUUCGGGUUGUAAAGCACUUUUGGCGGGAACGAAAAGGACUGUGCCAAUACCACGGUUCGAUGAC
rnacentral:rRNA from 1 species